rnacentral:misc_RNA from 1 species
GAUUCUUGUUUCUAAAGUUCCAAAGGAAACAAAUGCCUCAUAUUCAUUGCAAGAGCCAGCUGAGGUUAAGGACUUUUUGCGGCGUUUGGUAGAGUGGAAACGAUUCUCUCAUGGAGAAGCAUGCAUGUAGGGUGUAAAACCAAAGAAGAAAUUGACUUCUACCCCAUAAUAUAUAGUUGGUAUUAAGGCCCAACGGUGAUAUUGAAAUAUGUAAUUUUUUUUUUCUUGUUUAGACGUUGUAAAUAAAGAGCAAUUAAAUCAAAUGGAAUACAAAGAAUUCCAUGUAAUUUUGCAAAGGAUUAUCUUCCCUUUUAGGUUGUUUU